GUGGCGGCACUGAGCAGGGCACACGGCGAGCGCCGCGGAGGGGCUGCCCGGCACCGCAGCGGGCUGGGGCCGGGCCGGGGCCAGGCCGCGCCCCCCGCCUGCUCACCGGGAGCCCGCGGUGCAGCCCCGCGGCAGGGGUGUGGACCAAGCGUUCUGCGGCCGCGGCGCCGCGGAGCUCAUGCGCCCGCGCUGCCGUACCUCCGAGGCCCCGCGCCGGCCGGGCGGGAGAAGGAGAGCCGCCUCCUCGCGGAAGAAGCCCGCCAGCCGCGCGCCGCCCCAGUCGGUGCCCUACCUGGGCGCGGAGCGGAGAGGCGACGAGCGAGCAGCAGAGGGGCAAGGGGCCAGCCGCCGCCGCCGCGCAGGUCCGCCUGCCCGCCGCCUGCCAACCAGGCCUGCCCGCCGCUACCUGAGGCGCCGGGUUGGCGCUGCCAACAGGAAACUUGAGAGCGCCAGGGGCGCGGCGGCCGCCCUGUCCGCCGGCCGGAAACGCGCCCGCCGCAGCCCGGGGUCAGUCUCCAGCCGGGCUCCUCCAACCUCGCCUCCCCUGCCACCCGCCGGGCCCAGAGAGCGCUCCCCGCAGUGUUCGGACCCGCCCGAACCUCCUCCCCGGCCAGGACGUUUCUCAAGCAGGGGAACUGCUUCUCUCCAUGUGACCUGAAGACCCUGGACUUCACACUGAUCCUGGAGAUUUGCCCUUCCCACCAGAGCACCGUCAGAAAGGUGUGCCAAUACUUGCUGCAGACCGAAGUCCAGGAAAGAAAUUUACAACCCUUGUGUCUGAAUGUUCUCAUUUCUCUCCCCCUCUCCUCCCUCCCCUCCUCAUUUCCCCUCUCCCUUUCCCUCUCCUUCCUCCUACAACUGGGUGGGCCCAGAGAAGUGGAUGCUAUCCAUUUCCUUUAUGUAAGAUCUUCCACCUUUCUGACUCCAGCCUCAUGCGUAAGCUCUGGGGACAGGCAUAGGAACCCUCCCAAGGCCAGAGCUUUCUUGUGGGUAUGCCUCCAAUGGGCCACGGCUAUGCAGCAAUGUGGGCUGGUCACUCCUGUGGAAGAACCUCACCUACAUCUCCUUGGAAGGUGGCCCUCUCAAGCGGGCCCCCUCUGGCAGCAAGGACAAUAAUCUUCCCCCAGCAGCCAGCUGUGCUGCUUCCCAUUGUGGACAAAGGCGUGUGUGUUCUGUGUGCCCAGGGAGCACAGAGCAUGGGCCGCGAGGGGUUAAGCAGGGCAAGGAGAGCAGGAGGGAGCUCCUGGUGGACACAGCAUCAGAUGGCAGCCCUGAAUCGCUCCCUUCAUGCACAUGUACAGAACCAUUUAAUCUAUUGUCCAAAUCAGUACAUUUUCUUCUUUUCAGAUCAACUUUAAUAGAGUAAAAUGUACCCAUUUUAAAUGUAUGGUACUAUGAGUGACUGAUCUACCAGUGUAACUACUGCUACAACCAAGAUAGAAAGCCUUGCCAUUACCCCCCAAAGUUACUAUGUACCCUUUUGUAGUCACCCCCCACCCUUAGUCCCACUGCUCUCCCAGA